rnacentral:misc_RNA from 1 species
GAUGAAGAAUGCAGCGAAAUGCGAUAAGUAAUGUGAAUUGCAGAAUUCAGUGAAUCAUCGAAUCUUUGAACGCACAUUGCGCCCCUUGGUAUUCCGAGGGGCAUGCCUGUUCGAGCGUCAUUAUAACCCCUCAAGCUCAGCUUGGUGUUGGGGCCUGCUGCACUGGCAGCCCUUAAAAUCAGUGGCGGCGCCAUCUGGCUCUAAGCGUAGUAAUUCUUCUCGCUAUGGAGUCCUGGUGGAUGCUUGCCAUCAACCCCCAAUUUUUCUAUGGUUGACCUCGGAUCAGGUAGGGAUACCCGCUGAACUUAAGCAUAUCAAUAGGCGGAGGA